UGUCUUUAUUUACAGAGUGCCUGACCGGUAGGUAUGGUGUCACAUGUUCAUCGACUUGUCCUGUGACGUGUAAAGACUUCGUGUGUAAUCAACAAACCGGCCAGUGCUUAGACUGCUAUCCUGGAAAGUAUGGAGUGGUGUGUGGGGCUGAUUGUCCGGACACAUGUACGGACAACAUCUGCAGUAAGGACGAUGGACAGUGUGUAACUACUGCCGAUUCUAAAUUGAUCAUAAUAAUUGUUUUGGCUGCUGUUUGUGGGCUGCUGUUAGUUGUGGUGAUAUCUUCAUCAAUAUAUAAGCUGCGAAAAAGACAAAUCAAAAAGAUCUCAUCAAAUACGAGUACAGGUACGACAGAAGAACAGUCCGUCCCGGACACUGGGUAUACGUCUCUUGAUCGUGAUCAAGAUGAAACUCCCCACGUCUAUGAAAUGGUGGUCAACUAAUCAUACGCAUGACAUGCUCAUCAAAUUCAUCAGGUUCAUUCAAUAUCAUACAAGAUCGUUGAUGAAAAAUGUCAGUGAAUUUGAAAUCUUAAGAGUGUAAUCCCUAUUGUCACAUGCACAUUACCCAAUUUCAUUAACCCUACAAUUUCCUGAUAUUUUGAAGACGAAUGUUAUGUUUUUUCAACAUUAAGGAUUAGACGAAGGAAUUAAUUAAUGGAACUCUGAGAAAAUAGUUGAUUUUGUCGAUAAUAUUAAUGAUGAUGCAAUCAAACAUAUCAGUGACUAAAUUGAUAAUUGUAAUUAUAUUAAUGAACUUAACGUUGAUCACUUGAUUGAUAACUGUUGUAAUAAUAUAUGAUUACAUUGCAGCUAAAACCUCACUUAGCACCAAUGUAUACAAUGUAAAUAAGCAGAAAUCAAUUGCUUCCAAGAAACCUUGGUUUGAUCUUAAUCGUAAUAUAUAUGUUAUAGAAAAAUAUACCGACGUUGUAAAGGCAAUCUAAUUAAAAUCUAGAUG